rnacentral:rRNA from 1 species
AUUGAACGCUGGCGGCAGGCCUAACACAUGCAAGUCGAGCGGAUGAAGGGUGCUUGCUCCUGGAUUCAGCGGCGGACGGGUGAGUAAUGCCUAGGAAUCUGCCUGGUAGUGGGGGAUAACGUCCGGAAACGGGCGCUAAUACCGCAUACGUCCUGAGGGAGCAAGUGGGUGAUCUUCGGACCUCACGCUAUCAGAUGAGCCUAGGUCGGAUUAGCUAGUUGGUGGGGUAAAGGCCUACCAAGGCGACGAUCCGCAACUGGUCUGAGAGGAUGAUCAGUCACACUGGAGCUGAGACACGGUCCAUGCUCCUACGGGAGGCAGCAGUGGGGAACAUUGGACAACGGGCGAAAGCCUGAUCCAGCCGGGCCACGUGUGUGAAGAAGGUCUUCGGAUUGGAAAGCACGUUUAGUUGGGAGGAAGGGCAGUAAGUUAAGACCUUGCUGGUUUGACGUUACCAACAGAAUAAGCACCGGCUAACUUCGUG